GUGCUCACUUCUGCAGCACCUAUACUAAAAUUGGAAUGGCACAGAGAUACAUGUUAUCAUGGCCCCUGUACAAGGACGACACCCAAAUUCGUGAAGCAUUCCACCUUCAU